ACUCCUACGGGAGGCAGCAGUGGGGAAUAUUGCACAAUGGGCGCAAGCCUGAUGCAGCCAUGCCGCGUGUAUGAAGAAGGCCUUCGGGUUGUAAAGUACUUUCAGCAGUGAGGAAGGCGGGUGUGUUAAUAGCACAUUCGUUUGACGUUAGCUGCAGAAGAAGCACCGGCUAACUCCGUGCCAGCAGCCGCGGUAAUACGGAGGGUGCGAGCGUUAAUCGGAAUUACUGGGCGUAAAGCGCAUGCAGGUGGUUUGUUAAGUCAGAUGUGAAAGCCCGGGGCUCAACCUCGGAAUUGCAUUUGAAACUGGCAGACUAGAGUACUGUAGAGGGGGGUAGAAUUUCAGGUGUAGCGGUGAAAUGCGUAGAGAUCUGAAGGAAUACCGGUGGCGAAGGCGGCCCCCUGGACAGAUACUGACACUCAGAUGCGAAAGCGUGGGGAGCAAACAGGAUUAGAUACCCUGGUA
rnacentral:rRNA from 1 species